rnacentral:lncRNA from 1 species
AAUGGUAGGGGAAAAGCAGGUAGGCUGAGGCGGGCAACCACACCAAGCGGCCGACCCAAGAAGGCAGCCCUGCAGCUCCGCCUUGUGCCACUCCCCAUCUCUAUGUUUGUGUCAGACCCAGCGCAAGGUAGAGGCAGAAGAGGAGGCCGGGAAGAGAAGCUGCAAGGUAGGAGGCUUUUGAUCUGAAGGCAAGAGUUGGACGAUCUGCUCACAAAGACACACCUUUAUUCUGAAUUUCUACUUGAAAAGAUUGAUCAGGUCACAAAUGUACCUUGGCUAUGUCUCUCACUGUGUGUUGAAUAAUGUUUUGCUUAUUUUCAUCUUGGUUGCUGACAUCGGUGGUGUUUUCUGUCGGAGAAAGUAGCUGAAGUGGAAGAAGAAGAUGAACCUGUAGAAGAGCUGAAAAAAGGACGUGAUAGAAAGAAGGAAGCGAAGCCUAAACAGUAUAAUGAUGUGAGUUCAGAUUUCCUAUGUUUUCUUCCCUUCUUCAUCAAUAUGAUAGCAUAGUUGUCUUCUAGAUUAUGCGAAUGUCUUUGGUUGUCAUAUACUGUGGAUGCAUUGUAGUUUGAUGUAUCGUCUGUAUUAACUGCUCAACAGACUUUCCUUGAAUAAUUACACAGAGACUGUUCUAUCUCCUAUUGUUUCAUAAAAUUCUGAUUAACCGCUCAACCUGUGACAGUACUACCUCGCCCAGCCGCACAUCCAAGAUGCGACACUUGCUGGAAAGCUGGUCAAGUAGGCCCUCGACUGCGAGUUUUAGCAGAUUGAUCCUGCACAUUAGCCUAAUUGUUACAAUAAACGGACUUACAACAAUGAUGCUUUCUAUAUUGAAUUUUUAUGUUCGACCUCACCAUUGCUUAGUUUCCUUUCCUGAUGUCAAGACACAAAGAAUUUGAGAUUCAAUUUAUCUUUUUUAGUUUUUCAACUAGAGUGCUUCAUUUAUAUGUAUUACUGUAGACACAUGGGAAUCCUCAAGGUGUCAGGCUUGUUCUUAUUAUUGCUCAUGCAACCCUAAACUUCAGUUAAAUGUACUACGUCAGGUUUUAGUGUUUGGAUCAUCAGUACAAAACAGAGUUGAUGGUAUAUGUCAAUUCUGUAUUGGUUCUAGGCAAGUAGGUUGACAUGUUCAUCUGCUAUCAUGAGUGUCGUGUUUACACUUGCAGUUCAGAUAUUAAGCUUAAGCUAAAGAUCUCACUGUACUGUCUAGAGGUGGAACCGGGGAAUGUUGACGCUUUAUUGGUUUUGGUCACAAAAAUGUUAGCUAUACAUUCUUUCAUCUUGAUUAUAUGGACUUCUCAAGUAAUACUACUUCUCAGUUAAUUCAUUGAAGUAAUGAUACAAUCAAUUGGAUAUUUUUCUACGAUUAUGGAUCUAGAGGAAAAAAUGUUGUUUUCACAUCAUUGUUUUAAUCCAAUGUUCAGCUUUAUUGCUAUAAGCUUUACUGCUUUAGACAUUUUCGUAGGAAAUGCUGAACAUUCGUAUCAAUUGAAUCAAUGUGGCCUUACAUGUAGUGCCGUUACUGUUAAAUUUGUAGAUAUCCUAUUUUAUUCAGCAGUAACUUUAUUUUCUUUUCACUUCUUUUUUAUAAAUGUCAUGCUCAAUAGGUAAUGUCACAGCAGCUGAAUUUCUUCAUAACUGGCAUAGGCAGUUAUCUUCUUAUGUGCUGCUAUUUCUAGAGGUAACCCCUAAUCAAAUAAAAUUUUGGCAUCUGAUUCAUCACACAGUAUUUUUGCUUGGCGGAAUAAACUUCUAAGAUGACUUUCUAUACUUUGUUAGGUGAAUGGUAUGUAUAGCAUGCAUGUACCAUCAAAUACAUCUAGCCUGCCCGUAAGUGCAGUAAGAAAUAAUGAUAUGAUGAGCUAGGGUGAGAAUUUCAAAGUGUUGAAGACAGAAUCAGGCUUUUAUUUUCUUGAAUUAUUUGAAGUGGAUCAUAUAUGUAAAACUUCAAAUAAUUUCUGAACCCACUAGAUGUUGCAGCGUAGAACUACUACUUCUUCAACUUGAAAAGGGUCCAUGAUUUUUUCAUAGCUGCGUUGUUAGCUUAUCUAUUGAUUGUGGUUUUCUUCUUGGUAAUCAUAACUAAGUUUUCGCUUUACUGUAAACUGCACAUAUGCAAUUGUGAAGGGCAUUCAGUUUUUUCUUCAGAAGCAAAGAUAGUAAGCUUCUCUUAUUCCCAGGAAAGCUCUCUACUUUAUUUCGACUGUAGAGUAGAGGGGCAAAGACAAUUUAUGAGCAGAAUGGUAGUGAAGAGAGGAGCUGCACAGUGGCUUCUCGUCGUGACAACUAUUUUCUUAACCUUUUUUUACCUCUACUGUUUUGCAAUAGUUGACUUGAUGUUUUGCUUUGGCUGCUUUGCUAUGUACAAUGGGUGGUUGUAGCUGCUGCUUGUAGCAUUGUAUGGUUGAUGUGUUUUGUCUUUGAUGCAAUCCAAAUUUUGGCAG